AACGCAUCUUGCGCUCCUUGGUAUUCCGAGGAGCAUGCCUGUUUGAGUGUCAUUUAAGUUCUCAACCACAACGGAUUCUUUUCUGGUGUGGCUUGGAUGUGGGGGGAAUUUUUUUUGCAGGCUUUGGAAAUGAAGUCGGCUCCCCUGAAAUGCAUUAGUAGUAUCUGAGCAGAAAAACUACUACAGGUGUGAUAACUUAUCUAUGCCUUGGUAUUCUGCAUGAAUGGAUUGCACUGCUUACAACAAAUCUUUUUGACAAAUUUGACCUCAAAUCAGGUAGGACUACCCGCUGAACUUAA
rnacentral:misc_RNA from 1 species